GAUGGUAGGGCUUCCUCUGUGGUCCAGUAAUGGUGACGUCCCUAACUGGCAGCCUGGGCCCCAGCGUCAGGAGUUGGGCUCAUGGUGACACAAAGGCUCCUUGGAUGCAAGAGCACAAACACCUCAGUGUGAAGGUUUCCUCUGGAGAAGGAGAAAAUGCAUUUUAGAAGAAAAUGAGUCUCUGAUCUCAGGAUUUGUCUGAUCUCUCACGAUUGGGAUGGCCCAUUCCUAGAGGGGGAGAAGACCUGGAAAACACUGCUAGACCAACUCAAAAUUACAAAGUUUUCCAGAGCUUAUAUGUCUUCUAAGCCAUAUGUCUAUGUCUGCAGGAAUGUAGACAAUUCAGAGGCUUUGUUCCCCAUAAUUUGGAACUUUUCUUCAGAUUUGACCAAGUCGGGUAGAGAUGAUCAAACCUAAUGGGAAAAAGACUGAAACAACAAAAACAGAAACAGGCA
rnacentral:lncRNA from 10 species